GAUGUGAGUGAGCUCUCAACUGCUUCCAUGCCAUGCCUACCUGGCUGAUACUGUGUUGUUGUAUUCCCAUCUUGAUGGUGAUGGAUUCUUACCCAUUUGGAACCAUCAUUUCAAAAUAAACCAUCCCUUCUCUUGGAUACUCACAACACCAGGGAGGCUACCUGAAAAACAGGACCCCAAGAAAGACAUGGGGAUCACCCAAUGACGGAAAAAUGGAUGAGAUCUACAUGAACAGCCUGGACGUGAGUGGGGGUAAUGAAGGGCAAGGGUCAAGGGAAAGAGAGCUUGGGGGAGCAGGAGAUCCCACCUGGAUCAAGUCAAUUUCUAAGCAAGGAAAUGUUAUCUGAAGAAAUGUAAUAACAUCUGCAAUUCUGCUUAUUCACAUCACUGCAUGACCUCCUUUCAGUUACUUUUCCUUCAUAUAGACAGUCUCAAUAUACAGGGCCAGAGGAUGGUGUAUUCAGAAACUGUUGUUAACAUCAAACAAGCAAGAAUGCCAGAGUGUGACAGUAACACAGCCAGCAAAGAUAAAGACCAUGACAAUGGACAAAAUGAAUGAGGGCAAAAAUACUACAUAAAACACAAAACAACUUCAUCAAUUACUACGGAUUCUGCCUCACAUGAUUCUGCUGUUUGUCUGCAUUACAGGAUGAUAUCACUCUCACUCCUGCACAGCAUUUUCCUGCAAUGUGACUCAGUUCUUAAGAUGUUCCUGUGAGGAAUUCUUCCCACCUGUGCUUCUCCAUUGUGCUAAUGGGGAUUUUCAAGCCCAUCCCUCAGCACUCAAUUCUGUCACUGGGAAUAAUAGAAACACAAACAAAACUGGAAAUUGCAUUUGAUGACAUUCUUAAAUAUGAAAUAAUUAGAAGCUUUAUUGUCAUCCAGGCUCUAGUUACUGAAUUUACCAAGAGAAAAAUUUAAGCAUUUUAGAGAGGAUGUAUCUGACAGAUAUUGGCCGUGCUGAUUUUUGCACACCUGUCUUAAAAUUGGAAAAAAAAAGCUUGCUAAAAAUUAAAAGAACUUGCUUUUCA